CCUACGGGGGGCAGCAGUAGGGAAUCUUCCACAAUGGGCGCAAGCCUGAUGGAGCAACACCGCGUGAGUGAAGAAGGGUUUCGGCUCGUAAAGCUCUGUUGUUGGAGAAGAACGUGCGUGAGAGUAACUGGUCACGCAGUGACGGUAUCCAACCAGAAAGUCACGGCUAACUCCGUGCCAGCAGCCGCGGUAAGACGUAGGUGGCAAGCGUUAUCCGGAUUUAUUGGGCGUAAAGCGAGCGCAGGCGGUUGCUUAGGUCUGAUGUGAAAGCCUUCGGCUUAACCGAAGAAGUGCAUCGGAAACCGGGCAACUUGAGUGCAGAAGAGGACAGUGGAACUCCAUGUGUAGCGGUGGAAUGCGUAGAUAUAUGGAAGAACACCAGUGGCGAAGGCGGCUGUCUGGUCUGCAACUGACGCUGAGGCUCGAAAGCAUGGGUAGCGAACAGGAUUAGAUACCCGAGUAGUC
rnacentral:rRNA from 1 species